CAUUGCUGCGUGGUGUGUAAUAUUGUCACGAGACUGCGCGCAAUGGGACAAAGACGACGUUGUCCACUGGGGUGAAGAAGACGAUAAUUGAAAAGAUUGUCUUUCCGCCAUCAUGGCAGUGAUACAGCUCGCUGUAAAUAGUUUGUAAAUAUAUUUUCAUUUAUGCCGUUUCUUGUGGCAUUUUGGUGGAGGUGCUGGGUACUACUCAAGAUGGAACUCCGCAGCGGAUGUGUCCUGGCAAGUUCCACCAUGUCAACAGGUGGGGAUAUUACGUCAACCGCAACACCAGCACCCCAGCCAGUGAUCUUGAUCUAACCCCGCGACCCUGGCUCUUUUUGCGGCACCGACAACGUCGA
rnacentral:lncRNA from 1 species